GACGAACGCUGGCGGCGUGCUUAACACAUGCAAGUCGAACGGAAAGGCCCUGCUUUUGUGGGGUGCUCGAGUGGCGAACGGGUGAGUAACACGUGAGUAACCUGCCCUUGACUUUGGGAUAACUUCAGGAAACUGGGGCUAAUACCGGAUAGGAUCUCCUGCUGCAUGGUGGUGGUUGGAAAGUUUCGGCGGUUGGGGAUGGACUCGCGGCUUAUCAGCUUGUUGGUGGGGUAGUGGCUUACCAAGGCUUUGACGGGUAGCCGGCAUGAGAGGGUGACCGGCCACAUUGGGACUGAGAUACGGCCCAGACUCCUACGGGAGGCAGCAGUGGGGAAUAUUGCACAAUGGGCGGAAGCCUGAUGCAGCAACGCCGCGUGCGGGAUGACGGCCUUCGGGUUGUAAACCGCUUUCGCAUGUGACGAAGCGUGAGUGACGGUAAUGGGUAAAGAAGCACCGGCUAACUACGUG
rnacentral:rRNA from 1 species